UCUCCAUGGGUUUUUACGUAUUAAAAACAAAUUUUUCAUACUGCAGGUUCAUAUGUUUCAGUACAGAUCUUGUUCUGGAGAUGCUCUUUCUGAGUGGCACAAAGGGAUCGAGUUGCUGCUCUCGGGAGUGACACUAGAAGGACCGCCCUGGGGAGGGCAGGAGGCUAAGGCUUCAUCUGUGAGUGUGUGUAAACAUACACUGUGAAAAAGAUGGUUCAUGUAGGCGCUAAUGUCACUCCAUCCAUAUCAUUCACAGAGAGGAGUCUUUUUAUUGUACACAAAUAUAAAAAUAUAUCAAAGAAAAAGCGCUGUGAGGUACAAACACAUAUAUCAAAGCCAUUUGAUGAAGCAGACCUUUUGCCAGUUACAUGUGUGCUUUCAAAACAUACCACUGGCUGACUUGCAUACACACUCACACGCAAGCACACAGUGGCUUUCAAAAGUAUUCAACCCCCCCUUGGACUUUUGCAGAUUUUAUUGUGUGACAACAUGAAAUCAAAAGGAUAUCAUUUAAUAAUGUUUUGGCCACUGCACAAUGUAAAUUAAAAUGUACAUUAAAAAAUAUAUAAAAAUAAUUACAAAUAUAACACAAAAUAAUUGAUUGCAAUAAGUAUAUCACCCCCUUUUGUCAAUUUUUGGUAGAGGCACCUUUAGGCAGCAAUUACAUGAGUGUAGUGUUUACCAGCUUUGUUCAUCUGGACACAGUGAUUUUUGCCCAUUCUAUUUAUAUAAUUUCUCAAGCUCCACGAAGUUGGAUGGGGAUCUUUGCUGAAUUUUCAACUCUAUCCACAUUCAUUGAGUUGAGGUCCAUGCCUUGACAGUGCCUCUCAAGGAAUGCCAAGGACUUGAAGCCACUCCAACAUGCUUUGUCGUGCUGAAAUAUGAGUUCCCAUGCACUCUAAUCUGAGUUCCCAUGCACUCUGGUUCAGGUUUUCUUCAAGAACCUCAAUGAUAAUCAUCCCCACAACAUGAGGCUGCCACCACCAUGCUUCUCAGAGGGAUAGUGUUCUCAGGAUGAUGUGCGUUAUUAGGCUUGUGCACAACAAGGUGCUUUGCAUUGAGGCCAAAAAGCUAUAUUUUGGUUUCAUAAAACUACAUAAUCUUCCACAUUCGCUUCCAUCUGGCAAACUCUAGCCACGUUUUUUUUUCAACAUCGGCUUUCUUUUUUCCACUCCUCGAUGAAGAUCACUUUAAAUAUUCAAUGCCUUUGAAAUUUACUUAUAUCCUACCCCUGAUUGGUGCUUUUGAAGAAUCUUAUUUCUGGAUUUGUUUCUUAGGUUUUUUGUUAGGAAUUGUACCAACCUCCUGUGGUAGCUCCCAGAGACAGGUGUGUUAAAUGUGACAUUAUGUGAAACAACUUAAUUGCACACAGGUGGAAUCCAUUCAACUAAUUACCGGUCCAUCAGGUGUCAUAGAAAAUGAGGUGAAUACUUCUGCAAUCAAGUCAUUUUGAUUGAUUUGUAAUUAAUUUAGAAAAUGUGCUAUUUUUUUUCGUUUACAUUAUUGACCUUUUGUGUGUUGGUCAUUGGCAAAAAUCCCUCAUUAAAUCCAUUUUCAUUUCAUUUUGUUCCACUAUAAAAUAUGGAAAAGUCCAAGGGGGUGAAUACUUUUGAGAGGCACAAUAUAAAUAUGCGUAUGUUUGUAUGUAUGUGUAUAUAUAUACACCCACACAUUAAAAUUGAUUGAUAGAUAGAUACAUACAUACAAUACAAACACAAAAAAAAACUGCUGUAAUUCAGCAUCACUGGGCAGAUUAAGACGGGUCUGUAAUAUUUCAAUAGUGAACUGGUUUGUUAAAGUUGUACGGACCUGAGAUGGAUGACUUAACACUAGUUAUUAGAUGCUCAGUAAGUUUGAUUAAACUUGCCCUGUGUAUGCGUGUUUGUUUCUGUGCUUGCCGGUAAAAGAUGUGACACUGCUCUGUGCCAAAACGUGCUUAUAUACUAAAGGUCCACCUGGUUAAACUGCCUUUGGUAAUUGUAAAGGUCUAAUUAUGUGUUAUUGUAUAAUUGUGCCUUGUUGAAGUGGAAACAUAUUUAUCAUUACAUUGGCUAAAUAACCUUGUUUUAUUUUAUUUGAAGUUCUACCUGGAUUUAUAUUCAAUUAAUAUGCUUACUGUAUGUAUGUGUGAUUGGAUGUAUGUGUGCAUAUUUGUGCAUGUGUAUGAGUAUCAGUGGAACUUAAAAUGCUUUAACAUUUGCUUACAUGUCAUUGCUACCUCAGUCAUGUGCUGCAAAAGAAGAUCAACUACAUUCUUGCCUUGGGAAAUGCAUGAUAAUUUGGCAAAAAAUAAUUUAAGUCAAUGGAACAUAGUGAAAAGAACUAUUGUUUUUUACUAAGUGAUCUAGUGGUACUCAACAAAUAUUUACAUUAUUGUUGUCAGCUGAAAC
ensembl:lncRNA